CUGAGGAAAUGGUAAUUCUACAGUUGAUCCCUGAGGUGUCAAGUGUCCAGUUGCAGCCCAUGGAGAGCCAGUUCAAUUAUGAAUCUCGAGACCACCACCUUCUGUCAGAACUUCCCAAAGGAGAUCUGUGAGAAGAAGGAAGAUGGCAUCAUCUACUCCAUCUAUCCCAAGAAAGGGGCCAAGAAGCACUGGCACAAGCUCUGGUAUGUCUGUGGGUCGGACCAGGACCUGGAUGAAACCCGUGUGGUGCGGACUGUCAAGGCAGGCUCACUGGAGAAGCCGGCAGAGCACCUGGUGCCUGACUUCCUGGAGGGUGACUUGUCCUACAUAGACAUCUUCUUAUGCACCUACAGAACCUACACCACCACCCAGCAUGUCCUGGACCUGCUGUUCUGAAGGUCAGUGCCCUGCCCUGCACAGCACAGUAGGAACUCUGACACCUACUAGCUCUGAGUCUUAGGAAUAUCACUUCACCACUCUGAGCCUCAAUUUGCUCCUCUGAUAAGUGAAGUGGUAAUGGAUCAACCUGCUAGAAUUACUGUCAAGACACCAAGAGACAAGCCAUGGAAUGUAUGUUCUAGAAGUCUGGCUCUGCAAAAGGCUGCUAGAGAAGAUGGGAUAUUCACAUUUAUUAUAUUCUGCUCUCUCAUGAAGAAGCUCUUUGCCUCACCAUUCACUGAUCAUCUGCCCCUGGGCAAACCUAUAUCGCAUUUGUAAAGGAGUUUUGACAUUCCAUCUAGUAGGUCCCUGUCUUUGGUGAGGCCAGAAGAGGAAACGCUGGGGGCUGACAGACGAGGCCCAAGUCCACUGAGAUACUGGGGGAAGGUUCACUUGAGUUCACUCAUUCAACAAUUAUCUGUGAAGCCCCUACUGUUGCAGACAGAGUUCUAUGCACUUAGUAUCAUUCAGUGAGUAAAGCAGACAGGAAGCCAGACCCUCUGGGCCUCAAUUGUAGUUGGAGAGUCAGAAAGGAACAGCAGACAUCACAAGUGGGUAACGUCCACAGUGCAUUAGAUGUGACACCCUUAUAUGCCUCCUCUAAGUAUGGAUCCAACCACUCCCAUUCUGCUGGAGACAGCCGACCCCAAGACCAACUGAAAAAAGCGAGGGCCAGCACCAAUUUUAAAAGUAGCUCAAGAUCUGGCUUCACCUCCAGAAUUGUCUCUAGAACUACUUCCUGGGGUAGAACCAGCUCCUGCAGAGAUACCAGAGCUCCAUAGUAGACCAGCUCCACCACUGGUACCACAUGAAGAGUCUGCUGGAGGGCCAGAUUUUAAACCUGGGUUGGCUCCUAUACCACCUGCUGAUGUCAACCCUGUUCCUGCACCAACAUUGGAGCUCCAGAAAGCAUCAGUUAUUCCAAUAUCAGCUCCCUCACUAGCACCAGAACAGGAGCCUGCUGUAGGACUGGAUUCGCAUCCUGGGCCACCUCCAGAAUCAGCUCUCGUACCAUGUGCUAAUGUCCAUUCUGCACCUGCACCAACACCGGGGCUCAAUGUAGCACCAGGUCCACCAUCUCCUGCUCUGGCCCGGACACCAGAGGCUGAGCCAGUUGCCACACCUCCUCCACAGCAGCUCCUCAGGCAGAGCCAGGGAGCAUUAGCUACAGAAUCAGAUCUUUUCUGCCCUUUACUUAAGAUGGUAUUUUUUUGGUUUUGUUGUAUGUAGUAUUUUUCUAGGUCACUUUAUACUCUCUAGUUUACACUAUUUUAACUGCUAGAUUUCUCACAAAAUGAAGUUUUGUUUUAAUAGUUUUAAAACCUGUUGCCAUCAAGUCAAUACUGUAUCAUAGCAACCCCACAGGACAGAGUAUAACUGCCUCAUAGGGUUUCCAAAGCUGUAAAUCUUUACUGAAACAGACUGCCACACCUUUCUCCCAAGAAACAGCUGGUGGGUUCAAGAGUGGACAUUUAGGUUAGUAAUCGAGGGCUUAACCCAAUAGUUCUAAAGUGUGUAAUAUACUGACUUUAAGUACUUUCACGUUCCUAUUUAACUACCACCAGUAUCUACUUCCAGAACAUUGUCAUCACACAAACAGAAGCCCUGUCCUCAAGAAGCAGUCCUCCAGAUGCCCCUCCCUAGCCUAGGGCAACCAGUGAUGGGCUUUUGGCUUCUAUGGGUUUAUCUAUUCAGGAUUUCUUACCUAAAUGCAAAUACCUAGCUUCUUUCACUUACCUUAAUGUCUUGCAGGUUCAUCCAUGCUUUAACCCACAUCAGUAUCUAAUUCCUGUUAACACUUAUUGGUAUUCCAUUGUAUGGAUGGACCAGACUUUGCUCAUCCAUUCAUCUCUUGGUGGACAUUUGAGUUGUGUCCACCUUUUGAAUGAUGAGAGUAGUACUUCUGUGACUGUUCAUGGGCGGUUAUUUACGCGAGUGCCUGUCUUCAUGAUAAAUCCCAGGGUUGGGUAGGGAGGAGGGAAAGGUGAGGACACAGUCCAAGUGUGGGGAGUGGAGUUGGGAGGGAUCAAGAGGCAGAAAAACCGUUGGAUGUGAGGAGGUGGGAGAGCCCUGGAGAACUCCUAAAUGUAGGUGACAAGGAGACAGUAGGGGUCUGGAGGCAACAUUGGUGUGGUGAGUGAGUAGGUAGGAGAGGGGUUAGACCCACUACAGGAAGCAGGACUUCCAACAAGUUCUUUCUAGUUCCAACCCCUGCUGACAAUUUGCUUUCCCCCCCAGAUAUACUGAAUCAGAAUCUACAUUUGCACAAGAUUCCCAGGUGAUUUUUAUGUAUAAUAAAUUUGAGAACCCAUGCACUAUGGAUGGUUCCCAGAACUGGGCCCUAACCAGCAGCAUUAGCAUCACCUGUGAACUUGUUAAAAAUGCAAAUUCUCAUCAGGGGUUCAAACGUGAUGGGCCUGGUUCAAAGCCCUGACGGGAAAUGAGAGGGUUGAAUGGGCCAGGACACCACCAUCAGGUGUGGUAAUGGAGAGGUAGGAGGGGUCAGGUGGUGGCCCAGUAAUGGUAAGGGAAGAGGGUGUAGGAGUGAGGAGGAGGGACAGCCCACAAGAAGACACAGUUGUGGGAGGAAAUGGAAGGGAGCAGUGUGUCAGUGAGUGCACAGGUGUGGCCAAUGAGGAAACCACACAGGUGUCAGGAAUAAGGCAAAAGGAGGAUCAGUAGAAGGCACAGGUGUAGGGAGUGAUGAGGUGGGCUGGGUGAGUGGAAGUCAAGAUAUGGUUGUUGAGGAGGGAGGAGGGGUCAGGAGGCAGUCCACAUAUGGGAAGUGAGAAGGUGGAGGGGUCAUAAGACAGCAAAAGUCUGCAGAGGUGGAAAGUGUGAGGAGAAGGCACAGGUGUGGUCAGUGAGUAGGUGGUGGAGACCCCCGGCAAUCCAUGUAGGGGAGGUGAGGGAGGGGUGUGGGGUGGAGGACAGGUAAAAGACAGGUGUGUCAAAUGAGAAGGUGGGGGGAGUCAGGAGGUAAAGCCACUUGGGAAGUGAGGAGGUAGGAGGGUUUAGGUAUCAGCAUGGAGAAGGUGGGCAGGGCUAGGAGAAGGCCUAGGACUGAGUAGUUAGGAGGCUUGAUGGGCCACCCAACCUUAGGUUUUAAGAAGGAAAAAGGGGUCAGGAGACAGCUAGGUGAUGGUACUCAGGAGGUGGUCUGGGUGAGGAGAAGGCACAGGUGUGAAGGGUAAGCAUGUGGGCAGGGAUAGGAUGUCACAGAGCUGCUAGUAAUGAGGGGUAGGAGGGCUUAGGAAGCAGCCAGUUUUGGAAAAUGAGGACUUGGCAGGGGUCAGAAGUCCAGGUAUGUGAAGAGAGCAGGUCUGAAGGGUCAAAAUGUCCCUCAAGAACGGGAACUGAGGAUGUGGGAGGGGCCAGGUGGCAGCCCAGUUAUUGGGAGGAGGUUGCAGUGGCCAAGAGAAUGCCCAGGUCUCAGGAAUGAGGAGGUGGGAGGAGUCAGGAGAUAGCCUGGAUGUGGGUACUAAGGAAUUGGGCAGGGUCAUUCAUUUGUGUUACAGAGGUGAGAAGGGCUAGGUGAAGGCAGAGCCUUAGGGUUAAUGAGGUAAGAGGGCUAAGGAGAAGGCACAGGUGAGGCCAAAAAACAGAUGGUAAAGACCAGGAGGUAGCAAAGGUGUGGAGAAUGAGGAGGUCCAAAGUGUCAGGAGUCCGACCAGGUGUGGGUACUGCAGCAGGUGAAAGGGUGGAAGCAGCCCUUCGAGGGAAGUGAGGAGGGGAGACCAGCAGGAGAACACGCAGUAGCAGGUGAUUAGGAGGUUGGACGGGUCAGGAGCUGGCCCAGUAGGAGGUGUAGGGCCCUGAGCAUGCCCAGGGGUGGGGUUAAAAGGUGGAAGGAGCCAGGAGAUGCCCAGGUGUGGGGAGUGAGAAGGUAGGCAGGUUCUCUUGCUCCCACCCUCCACCCCCCACCCAGGUGACCAGCCAGGACAAGGCUCUGCAAGGCCAGGGAAGGGACAGUGUAGAAGAGGUGAGCCUGAGGACCAGGAGCUGGUGCAGGUGACCUCAGAGGCUAGAAGUGAUGAAGGGCAAGAAGGACAAGGGCCAUGAGUAGGCAGUGGGUCUCAGCUGCAUGCUGUCAGCCCUCUGUCCCUGAACUCGUGCCCCGUGAUCCUAACCUGCCCAGAUAGCCCUGGAGGCAGCAUUUCCUCAUGCCCUCAGUGGCCACUGACCACCCACGUGUGCCAUCUCCAGGCUUAGCUAAGAGUGGGCACCAGGCUUAGAGGUAGUUUCAUCGAGGGGGCCAAGAGGGAGGGCUUUUCUGCUGGGGCAAUGUGAUAAUGGGGUCUGAACCUAGGCUCAGCUGGAUGUGGGGGAAGCCCUCAUAUCAAAAUGGGAAUCAUGUGCCUCUGGAAACUGGGGACUGCUGGAACUGAGCCAUCACACUUUAGGACCCAUGUGUCCAGCAUACCAGAACCAGAAAUCUCCUUGAUCCCCCGGAGGUCCCGGAAGCCAACACCAUAUUCUGGAAACUGGGAAAGGGGACAACUCAAGAACAAGCACAGACUUGAAGCCAUGUUCCUCAAGGCCUCUGGGCCUGUCUCCUCGCCCCCACAGUUGAGAGAAAAUAUCAGUGGGUUAAUUCACACACACAUACACACACACACAUGCACAUACACACACAUCUAAGUGUGAAUGCUGUGUAUGCCAUAAAGAUUAACUAUAAACAUCGUCAUCACUGUCCUCGCCCAUUGGUGAGCUGACCAUCAACUCCCAGCCACUAGCCCAGACAAUUAGGGAUGGCCCCAGGUACCUAGAAGCUGAUCUCUGAGCCCUCUCUCAUUCUCCUGCACCACUUAGUGAGUUGGUCAGGGUAGGUGGUAUCUACAUUGUACUGAAAAGGAAGACUGAGGCCCAGGAACUAAGGUUCAGAAACUAGGAAAAGAGGCACAGGAUGAGCAGGAGCAGGAAUCCCAGCCUAGUAUUUAUCUAUAGUAGGCUCUAUGCCAGAGAGGACUAGAAGGAAAUAGGAGCAAAGAGUAAGUACUGCUGGGUGCUGGGACUUGAGGGCCUGGGAGCCUCCCAGACGCAGUGCUGAGGCAUGGGACGAGGUGGCCCUUGGCUGAGCUUCCGAGGCCUUGUCCUGAGUGGUGUAUAAUGGGAAGAUUGUCCGGGUUCUGAAUGGCCUGUUCAGCUCUGUGGUCCUUCUGUGCAGGCAGCAGGGCGGAGGACAGGAUGACCCUCUGACAGCUAGGUUUAAAGGAGCCUUGGAGUCAAGGCUGCUUUGUGAACAAGAGCUUCGGGGUUUAAUUAGGGCUCCUGCAUAAUCGUUCCUACGGGAAGGUGUAAUGUGGAGGGUCCUUGGUGAUCCUGGAACUGGAAUGAGGGUCUCAGGACUCUGGCUCAGGCCUGCCAUCGUGGCAAGCACAUGAAUUUUGGGGGGCCAAAGGAUGGAAUUUUUUUUUUUUUUUUAAAGGAUGGAAUGUUAUGGAUUGGAUUAUGUCCCCCAAAAAUGUAUGUCAACUUGGCUAGGCCAUGAUUCCCAGUACUGUGUAACUGUUGACAUCCGAUGUGAUUUUCCUGUGUUGUAAAUCCUACCUCUAUGAUGUUAAUGAGGAGAGAUUACUCUCAGUUAUGUUGAUGAGGCAGGAUUCAAUCUUCAAGAUUAGGUUGUGUCUUAAGUCAAUCUCUUUUGAGAUAUAAGAGAAAAGCAAACAGAGAGACAUGGAGACCUUAUACCUCCAACAAACAAGAGCCAGGAAAAUAGCAUGUCCUUUGGGCCUGGGGUCCCUGCAAUGAGAAGCUCCUUGACCAGGGAAGACUGAUGACAAGGGCCUUCCUCCAGAGCCAACAGAGAGAAAAAAACCUUUUUUGGACUUCUAGCCUCCUAAACAAAGAGAAUAAAUUUCUUUGUUAAAGGCAUCCACUUGUGGUAUUUCUGUUACAGCAGCACUAGAUAACUAAGACAGUCAGCAUGUUCAAAUCCACCAGCUGCUCCCUGGAAACCCCAUGGGGCAGUUCUACUCUGUCCUAUAGGGUCUCAAUGAGUUGGAAUCAACUCGGUAGCAAAGAGUUUGGUUUGGUUUUUGAUAAUAUAAAUAGUUGGCUUUAGCGUAUUACUUUAUGUUAUGGAUUGAAUUGUGUCCCCCCAAAUGUGUGUUAACUUGGCUACGCCAUGAUUCCUAGGAGUGUGUGAUUAUCCACAGUUUUGACAUCUGAUAUGAUUUUCCUAUGUGUUGUGAAUCCUACCUCCAUGAUGUUAAUGAGGCAGGAUUAGAGGCAGUUUUUUUUUUAUCUUAAUGAGGCAGGACUCAAUCUACAAGAUUAGGGUCUAUAUUCAAUCAAUCUCUUUUGAUAUAUAAAAGAGAGAAGCAAGCAGAGAGACAGGAGGAGUUCACACCACCAAGAAAGCUGCACCAGGAGUGAAGCGCGUCCUUUAAACCUGGGGUUCCUGCAUUGAGAAGAUCUUAGACCAGGGAAAGACUGAUGACAAGGACCUUGCCCCAAAAUCUGUAGAAAGUUUUGUCCUAGGGCAGAUGCCCUGAAUUUGGACUCCUAGCCUCCUAGACUGUGAGAGAAUAAAUUUCUCUUUAUUAAAGCCAUCCACUUGUGGCAUUUCUGUUAUAGCAGCAUUAGAUAAUGAAGACACUCUAAUAAACUCAUUUACAACUAUUAAUAACUUUGUUGAGAUACCUUCGGAUUUUCUAUGUACAUGAGUGUGUAAUCUAUAAAUAGCUUUACUUCUUUCUAAUUUGUAUUUCUCUGUUAUUUUUAAUGUUUUAUUACAUUGAUUAGAAAUGUCAGUACAGUGUUGAAUAAAAGUGGUAAGAGUAGACAUUCUUGCCUUGCUCCCUUAUUUCUAUGGGAAAAGCAUUCAGUAUUUGAACCAUUAAGUACGAUGUUAGGUGUAGGUUUUUCUUAGCUUUUUAUUGGAGUAGUUAGGUCAAUUUAUAUGCAGCAUAAUAACCGAUAUGUUUGGAUGUAAAUCUACCAUCUUCUUGUUUCUAUUAAGUCUCUCCUAUACAUCUAGCGGGACCCUGGUUGAGAAAGGCUACUUAGAGAUUACAAUAUACACAUUUGAUUUACUACAAUUUAUCUUAAUAUAGCAUUUCUUGGACAAUCCAAAGCCUUUAUGAUACUGAAUUCUAUUUACCUCCUCCUCUUGUGCAAUUUUUCCAUGUACUUUAUUCCACAUGUAUUUAAAACUCCACUAGGUAUUUUUAUUGCCUUAAUCAGUUAGUACACAUUUAGAUUUACCCACAUACGGGUAGUCCUCGAGUUAUGACAUAUCUGAGUUACAACGAACUGCACUUACAAUAGCCCCUUUUUUUUUGUACAUCUUAUCAUUAGUAAUAUGUACUACAUACAGCGUUACAGUGUGUCGUUUGCUGAUGUUAUCAUUCUCAUGCCAACCCCCAAAGACAAAUAAAAAUCAAAUUUAUAAAGAUACUGAUAACUGGGAGUUAGAAGCUGGCGAAAAGGACACGAAAAGAGAGAGUGGAGGGAGAGAGCAGGCUGUCUCAUUGGGGGGAGAGUAAUUGGGAGUGUGUAGCAAGGUGUAUAUGGGUUUUUGGGUGAGAGACUGACUUAAUUUGUAAACUUUCACUUAAAGCACAAUAAAAAUUAUUAAAAAAAAAAGAUACUGAUAACAAAAGGCAGUAAUAAUGAAAACCAAAAAAAAUGAGGUAUUCAGAACCAACUUACAAGGAAUCACCAGAACAGAGCCCCGUUGUAAGCUGUGGACUGCCUGUACUUUACAUUUUCCAAUGCUCUUCAUUCCUACAUUUUGCUUCCAUCUGGAAAUUUUUUUCUUCUUCUUCUUUCCCUCCUCCUCCUCCUCCUCUUUCUUCUUGAAUUCCCCUUAGUAUUUUUUUCAGUGCAGGCCUGUUGGUAAGAACCUUUCUCAGUGUUUUCAUCUGGAAAUAUCUUUGACUUUUCUUAGACGCAUUUUCUCUUGUUACGGAAUUCUAGGUUGACAUAUUUUCAUUCAGCAAUUUAAAGGUGGCAUUCUGUUUUGUCUUCUGGUUUCCACUGUUUCUAUUGAAGUUAGUGGAUGAGAGAUAAUUCUCCAUGACUCUUUUGUGUUUCUGUACAUCUUGCAAACAGAGAAACUAAUUGCCUUUCUUCUGGACUGUUGGACAUUAUAUGGCCAAUGGCCUUUGAAUAUAGUGAUAGUGUCUCGGCUGAAGUGGAGAACAGGUAUGCUUACUGCCCGUUAUAAAAGACUUUGAUCUACUAAGCUCAGGGAUCCACUCCUGUAAUUCAACCCACUGAAUGUGUCACCCUGUGGGAACUGGCACACGGGAACCAGUGCAAAUGCUGAUAUUCUGUCUACUGCAAUUGCUGUUAACAAGCUCUUCUUUGUCUCUCACCUAGGAGUGUCUAGUCUUCUUCCAGCAGCCAUGAAUCAUAGUAGGCUGACAUGUCAGCUUGCAAGUAGGAUAAAAUCUCAGAUUUUUCAUAGUUCUUCACAGUUUAUGUGACAAGGAUGAGAUACUGACAGAGACAUGGCUUUCUGGAAAAGGAAGUAUGAGGGCCUCACAGCCUGAAUAAUAGGAUUUGAGGAGGAAGUCCAUGGGAAUUUGUAGUGAACAUGUUGACCAAAUUGUAUGGUCAAAGGCAAGGUCAUGGAAACUUCACAGACACAUCCAAACUCCCUCAGGACCGAAUUACUGGGCUGAGGGCUGGGGACCAUGGUCUCAGGGUACAUCUAGCUCAAUUGGCCUGACAUAGUUUAUAAAGAAAAUGUUCUACAUCCUACUUUGUUGAGCAGCGUCUGGGGUCUUAAAGGCUUGUGAGCAGCCAUCUAUGAUAAUCCACUGGUCCCACUCCGUCUAGAGCAAUGGAGAAUGAAGAAAACCAAAGACAUAAGAGAAAGAUUAGUCCAAAGGACUAAUGGACCACAACUACCACAGCCUCCACCAGACUGAGUCUAGCACAACUAGAUGGUGCCCGGCUACCAUCACCAAUUGCUCCGACAGGGAUCACAACAGAGGGUCCUGGGCAGAGCUGGAGAAAAAUGUGGAACAAAAUUCAAACUCACAAAAAAAGACCAGAGUUACUGGUCUCACUGAGACUGGAAAAGCCCAAAGAGUAUGGCCUCCAGACAUUUUUUUAACUCAAUAUUGAAGUCACUCCUGAGGUUCACCCUUCAGGCAAAGUUUAGACAGCACCAUAAAACAAACGAGACUAAAUGGACACACCAGCUCGGGGGCAAAGACAAGGGUGUAAGACAGGAAAGUUGGUAACAGGGAACCCAAGGUCAAGACGGGGAAAGUGUAGACAUGUCAUGGGGUUGGCAAUCAAUGUCACAAAACAGUAUUGUACUAAUUAAUGAGAAAGUAACUUGUUCUGUAAAUCUUCAUCUAAAGUACAAUUUAAAAAAAAAAAACUGUAUGGUCAACUGGGCAAUAAAUGUUUCUCUAUUUUAUUGCCUGUUAACGAGGAGGAAUUGGGGAAGUGGUUGUAGGCCAAGUCCAGGAAGUAAGUUCAAAAAGACAGCUGCCCAAAUUGUUCCCUGAUCAUGGAUAACUUUCCUCCAAGGGGCCUUCCUCACCAAUUCAGUGGUCAGCCUCAGGUUAACCUCAUUGUAACUAGUAUUAAGAUAAAUCUUGUGUGGACAGGUUUCACGGCCUUUCAGACGAUAGAGACAUGUAUCCACACUGAGCAUGAAAAGAGGGAAAUCUGUGAUCGCCAUGGGCAGAGGCCAAGAAAAUUGUUAGAAUUCUGGCUGGCUUUUUUUCUUGGGUGAGGUGCCUAAUGCUUAAGAAAGAAUGGAAACAGCUAAGCUGUCUUACUACUCAGCCCCUUCUGCAGUCUAUGAUGCCAAUCUUCGAUUACUUGGAAAUAACAGUAAAAGACCUGAAAGUUUUUUUGUAUCGGGUCCAAGCUCUGUGGUCUAGUUUUUGACACUACAAGUUGUCAUAUACAAAUAUAUACUUUUAUUAAUUCAAGGAGCCCUGGUGAUGCAGUGGUUAAGUGCUCAGUGCUAACCAGGAAGUCAGUGGUUCGAACUCACCAGCUGCUCUGUGGGAGAAAGAUGAGCAGUCUGCUGCUGCAAAUAUUUACAGCUUUGGAAGCCCUAUGGGGCAGCUAGCUCUACUCUGUCCUAUAGAGUCACUAUGAGUCAGAAUCGACUCAACAGCAGUGGGUUUGGUUUGGGGUUUUUAUUCCUCAACAAUUUUAUUUACUUUGGUAUAUAUAUAUAUUUUAAUGGAUAAUAUAUAGACAGAUGAUAAAAAUAAUUCAAACCUUAUGAGAGUAUAUGCAGUAAAAAGUUUCUAUUCCUCACACUUCUAGUCAUCUGACUCCUAGUUCAAUACCAGAAUAGCACAGCAUGUUUACACACAGGAAAUUUAAAGACAGAUAAGUAGCAUUAGCGUAAGGUAGGACUCCUCAACUGUGAGGGGAUGACUGUGGUAUCAGAAUGAAAACCAGUUAAGAUAUGGAGGGAAUUUAAGUUUUCCAUAAAACUUUCUAAUGUAACAUCUCUGAUACACAAUAAUUAAGUUGGGUUCACUAAAGGUUUGAGGUUAUACAGCACUAAUACAGUUCCUAUUGAGUUCUGACUGAAUACCUCCCCACACUGAUUUUUCCAGUAUCUAAGGUUCUGCAUUAAUACUAUUACACAUUUCUUACAAUGAUAAAAAUUUUCCUAUUGUGAAUUUGUUUCAGUGAAAGACUAGAGCUUUUCUUACAUAAUAAUUACAGCAAAUAUAGGAAUUUUUUCCAUUGUUAUUGACAUUGUGUAAAAUGUUUAUUUACAUAGAAGGUUUCCCCACAAUUUUCAGUUAAUGUUGUCUGCCUUCUGAAUUAGACUUUCAUCAUGAAAAUUACUGUUUUCUCCCCAGUGUGUUUUUUGUUUUUUAGUGUAAUACAAGAGUUGAGCAUUGAUUAAAGUCUUUUUCAUAAUCAUCAAUAUCAUUCAUAGUAAUUUUUU